rnacentral:rRNA from 1 species
UUCGGUGAGGAUAGCGUAGGGGAAACACCCGUUCCCAUUCCGAACACGGCCGUUAAGACCUACGACGCCGAUGAUACUGCAGGGGGGGCCCUGUGGGAAAGUAGGUAUCGCCGAGG